rfam:Schistosoma mansoni strain Puerto Rico chromosome 1, complete genome
GCACUGCUGUGGAGUCCCGCAAUAGGACGAAACGGCCGUCCAGUGC